rnacentral:rRNA from 1 species
ACGUAGGGUGCGAGCGUUAAUCGGAAUUACUGGGCGUAAAGCGUGCGCAGGCGGUUGUGUAAGUCAGAUGUGAAAUCCCCGGGCUUAACCUGGGAACUGCAUUUGAGACUGUACGUCUAGAGUGUGGCAGAGGGGGGUAGAAUUCCACGUGUAGCAGUGAAAUGCGUAGAGAUGUGGAGGAAUACCGAUGGCGAAGGCAGCCCCCUGGAUUACUACUGACGCUCAUGCACGAAAGCGUGGGGAGCAAACAG